rnacentral:rRNA from 1 species
GAUGAACGCUGACAGCAUGCUUAACACAUCAGCAAUUGAUUGGUGGCGGACGGGUGAGUAACGCGUAAAGAACUUACCUCCCAGUUAGGGUCAACAUUUGGAAACGAAUGCUAAUACCUAAUACUGUGGGAGAGCUUUGCGUCCCAUUCGCUAGUUGGAGAGGUAACGGCUCACCAGGGCGAUGAUGGGUAGCCGGCCUGAGAGGGUGAUCGGCCACAAUGUGACUGGGACAGGGCCCUUACUGCUUCGGGUGGCAGCAGUGUAGAAUAGUGACCACUAGACCGAAGUCUGAUCCAGCUAUUCUGUGUGCACGAUGAUGUUUUCGGAAUGUAAAGUGGUGUCAGUUGGGGAGCGGUACCAACAGAAGAAGUAACGGCUAAAUACGUGCCAGCAGCCGCGGUAAUAC